rnacentral:rRNA from 1 species
UACGGAGGAUUCAAGCGUUAUCCGGAAUCAUUGGGUUUAAAGGGUCCGUAGGCGGUCUUGUAAGUCAGUGGUGAAAGCCCAUCGCUCAACGGUGGAACGGCCAUUGAUACUGCAAGACUUGAAUUAUUGGGAAGUAACUAGAAUAUGUAGUGUAGCGGUGAAAUGCUUAGAUAUUACAUGGAAUACCAAUUGCGAAGGCAGGUUACUACCAAUACAUUGACGCUGAUGGACGAAAGCGUGGGGAGCGAACAGG